AUUGAACGCUGGCGGCAGGCCUAACACAUGCAAGUCGAGCGAGCGGCGGACGGGUGAGUAAUGUCUGGGAAACUGCCUGAUGGAGGGGGAUAACUACUGGAAACGGUAGCUAAUACCGCAUACCAUCAGAUGUGCCCAGAUGGGAUUAGCUAGUAGGUGGGGUAAUGGCUCACCUAGGCGACGAUACCUAGCUGGUCUGAGAGGAUGACCAGCAACAUGGGAACGGAGCAACGGUCCGGCCUCCUACGGGAGGCAGCAGUGGGGAAUAUUGGCCAAUGGGCGAAAGCCUGAUGCAGCCAUGCGGCGUGUAUGAAGAAGGCCUUCGGGUUGUAAAGUACGUUCAGCGAGGAGGCGUUACUCGCAGAAGAAGCACCGGCUAACUCCGUGCCAGCAGCCGCGGUAAUAC
rnacentral:rRNA from 1 species